UACGUAGGGGGCAAGCGUUGUCCAGAAUCAUUGGGCGUAAAGCGCGUGUAGGCGGUUCGGUAAGUCGGCUGUGAAAGUCCAGGGCUCAACCCUGGGAUGCCCGGUCGAUACUGCCGGACUAGAGUUCGGAAGAGGCGAGUGGAAUUCCCGGUGUGAGCGGUGAAAUGCGCAGAUAUCGGGAGGAACACCAAUGGCGAAGGCAGCUCGCGUGGGACGUUACUGACGCUGAGACGCGAAAGCGUGGGAGCAAACAGG
rnacentral:rRNA from 1 species